rnacentral:tRNA from 1 species
GUGCAUAUAGCUCAGCUGGAUAGAGCAAUUGCCUCCUAAGCAAUAGGUCGGGCGUUCGAAUCGCCUUAUGCACGCCA